UUAGAAGUUAGAACCAUGAUUCCGGCUGGAAAGGAGGGCCGGUGCCGACCCCACAUAGGACUCAAUACUUCAUAAGUUAGUCAAUGCCUCAAAGUAUCUAAAUAAUCACGUGAUACCAACAUAUUCGGCAUUAAUGAUGAGCUGUGCUAAGGUUUAAAAAUAAAGGGUUACCUUGUAACAUGGGCUUUCUUUCUCACCUAAAUUGAAGAAUAUAACAGGGAGUAAGAGUAUAGUUGUGAGAUCCCACAUUAGUUGUCGGUUGGAGAGGGGAACGAAACAUUCUUUAUAAGGGUAUGGAAACCUCUCCCUAGCUGACCCGUUUUAAAAGCCUUGAAGAGAAGCC